rnacentral:rRNA from 1 species
ACGGGGCCCGCACAAGCGGUGGAGCAUGUGGUUUAAUUCGAUGCAACGCGAAGAACCUUACCUACUCUUGACAUCCAGAGAAUUUGCUAGAGAUAGCUUAGUGCCUUCGGGAACUCUGAGACAGGUGCUGCAUGGCUGUCGUCAGCUCGUGUUGUGAAAUGUUGGGUUAAGUCCCGCAACGAGCGCAACCCUUGUCUUUAGUUGCCAUCAUUCAGUUGGGCACUCUAAAGAGACUGCCGGUGUCAAACCGGAGGAAGGUGGGGAUGACGUCAAGUCCUCAUGGCCUUUAUGACCAGGGCUACGCACGUACUACAAUGGCCGGUACAAAGGGCAGCCACUUAGCGAUAAGGAGCCAAUCCCGUAAAGCCGGUCUCAGUCCGGAUUGGAGUCUGCAACUCGACUCCAUGAAGUUGGAAUCGCUAGUAAUCGUGGAUCAGCAUGCCACGGUGAAUACGUUCCCGGGCCUU